GAGACUGAGUCUCACUCUAUUGCCCAGGCUGGAGUGCAGUGGCGUGAUCUCGGCUCACUGCAACUUUGGCCUCCUGGGUACAAGCGAUUCUCUUGCCUCAGCCUCCUGAGUAGCUGGGACUACAGGUGAACACCACCACGCCUGGCUAAUUUUUUUUUUGUAUUUUUAGUAGAGACAGGGUUUCACCGUGUUAACAAGGAUGGUCUCGAUCUCCUGACCUCGUGAUCCACCUGCCUCGGCCUCCCGAAGUGCUGGGAUUACAGCCUGAUUUUUCUAAAAUUGAACCCAAGAGUUAGAACAAAACAGGAUGGAAUCUAGAAGGCAGACUGCGACUGUUCUAAGAAAUCUCGUGUAGAAGCAGGGAUGACAGGCAUGUGCCAGUCUCCCUGAAAACUGGGCCCACUUGAGGAAACUCAUUUCUCAGCAUGCGGGGUUUAUUAAUUAACCUUCUUGAACUGACUGACCAGAGAGACACACCUCUGAAACAGAGCAAUGCUGGAGGCGCAGCUACUGUUCUCUAGUGGAGAGACCCUUCUGGUGAGUGGCUGCAGUAGGCCUUAGCUGAUAUGUUCCUAGCCUAGGAGGCCUGAGCCAUCACCACCACAGGACUGAGGACGACAUCUGUCCAAAACUGCCAGGUUCACUUUAUGAGAAGGUACUUAGGUAAGAGAAAUGACCUGGUGACAUCUGAGUUGCUGUGGACAAAAUGUUAAAGCAAGACUUCCUGGCUGCUAUGGACUCAGAGUACUCUAGGGUAACCAUUCAAAGGGGCUAGAGAUGGAGAAUGCCCUUAUUCUGGUUGUUUAAGAAGAAACGAAAAGCUAAUGUCUAAUGGUCCUAAUGGCUUGUGAGCUCCUUAAGGGCAGGCAGAGUGGUGACUUCGUGAUUUUGCAUUUCUAGGGCCAAACAGUAUAUUUAAUGUAAGAGACAAUAAAAUGAACAGAAUUGAAAAUAAACACGAAUAUAAAGUCUGAUGGCAUCCAAGGUCUAGCUUAAAAUAUUAAUACCAGACUAGUUUUCUAAACACCUGCGUUGUGUCUGCUUUUAUUCAUGAAAAGAGAGAAGCAGUCUUAGGAACACAGUGUCACAUGCCUACGAGGGGCUCAGUCGUUCCUAGGCCCUGAUAAUGUUACACUGCAGGGACAGUGUGGACAAUAUUCGUGACUUGGCGGCACAUCUCGACACUGCAGUGAAUGAAAGGCACCACAAAAGCCUCGCUGGUGUGACUCAAGAGAACAAGAGGAAAUGAUAGCUUGGGCUGCUUUAUCUGGGUCUGUGGCCUGUAGGUCAGGGGUCCUCUGGCUUUAAUGGGCACCGAGGUACCUAGGAACCUUGUUAAAGUGCAGAUUCUGAUUCUGAAGAUCUAGGGGGCCAAGUUUCUGUAGUUCCCACAUCUCCUAGGUGAGAACUCUACUUUGACCAGCCAGGCUGCUGGUCCUCCUACCACACUUUGAACAACAGGGUUCUAGGGAACAGUUUCUGAGUGGCUCCCUCCUGCUGAAAGCAGGAUGCUCUCAGGUGCUUCAUGCUUUGAGGAGAAAGACUCAGUCUGGGCUAGUCUUAACACUUCUUUAAUACUAGCUAAUCUCCUUAGAGAAAAGGCAGGAUGUAGUGGCCCCAGGCUCCCAACCCUCAGCAGGCACCCUUAUUGAGCACCAGGAUUUAAUAAAUAACACUGGCUUGUGUCCACUGUAUUUAAUUG
rnacentral:lncRNA from 10 species